UACGGAGGGUGCGAGCGUUGUCCGGAAUCACUGGGCGUAAAGGGCGCGUAGGCGGCUCGGUAAGUAGGGGGUGAAAUCCUGCGGCUUAACCGCAGGGCUGCCUUCUAAACUGUCGAGCUCGAGCACGGUAGAGGCAGAUGGAAUUCCCGGUGUAGCGGUGGAAUGCGCAGAUAUCAGGAGGAACACCGGUGGCGAAGGCGGAUCUCUGGGCCAUUACUGACGCUGAGGAGCGAAAGCGUGGGGAGCGAACAGG
rnacentral:rRNA from 1 species